GACGAAGGGGGCUAGCGUUGUUCGGAAUUACUGGGCGUAAAGCGCGUGUAGGCGGUUAUUCAAGUCGGGUGUGAAAGCCUUGAGCUCAACUCAAGAAAUGCAUUCGGUACUGGGUGACUAGAGGACCGGAGAGGAUAGUGGAAUUCCCAGUGUAGUGGUGAAAUACGUAGAGAUUGGGAAGAACACCAGUGGCGAAAGCGACACGCUGGACCUUUUCUGACGCUGAGGCGCGAAAGCCAGGGGAGCAAACGGG
rnacentral:rRNA from 1 species